rnacentral:rRNA from 1 species
GGGUUGUGAGGUUAAGCGACUAAGCGUACACGGUGGAUGCCCUGGCAGUCAGAGGCGAUGAAGGACGUGCUAAUCUGCGAUAAGCGUCGGUGAGGUGAUAUGAACCGUUAUAACCGGCGAUUUCCGAAUGGGGAAACCCAGUGUGUUUCGACACACUAUCAUUAACUGAAUCCAUAGGUUAAUGAGGCGAACCGGGGGAACUGAAACAUCUAAGUACCCCGAGGAAAAGAAAUCAACCGAGAUUCCCCCAGUAGCGGCGAGCGAACGGGGAGGAGCCCAGAGCCUGAAUCAGUGUGUGUGUUAGUGGAAGCGUCUGGAAAGGCGCGCGAUACAGGGUGACAGCCCCGUACACAAAAAUGCACAUAUUGUGAGCUCGAUGAGUAGGGCGGGACACGUGGUAUCCUGUCUGAAUAUGGGGGGACCAUCCUCCAAGGCUAAAUACUCCUGACUGACCGAUAGUGAACCAGUACCGUGAGGGAAAGGCGAAAAGAACCCCGGCGAGGGGAGUGAAAAAGAACCUGAAACCGUGUACGUACAAGCAGUGGGAGCCUCUUAAUGGGGUGACUGCGUACCUUUUGUAUAAUGGGUCAGCGACUUAUAUUCUGUAGCAAGGUUAACCGAAUAGGGGAGCCGAAGGGAAACCGAGUCUUAACUGGGCGUUAAGUUGCAGGGUAUAGACCCGAAACCCGGUGAUCUAGCCAUGGGCAGGUUGAAGGUUGGGUAACACUAACUGGAGGACCGAACCGACUAAUGUUGAAAAAUUAGCGGAUGACUUGUGGCUGGGGGUGAAAGGCCAAUCAAACCGGGAGAUAGCUGGUUCUCCCCGAAAGCUAUUUAGGUAGCGCCUCGUGAAUUCAUCUCCGGGGGUAGAGCACUGUUUCGGCAAGGGGGUCAUCCCGACUUACCAACCCGAUGCAAACUGCGAAUACCGGAGAAUGUUAUCACGGGAGACACACGGCGGGUGCUAACGUCCGUCGUGAAGAGGGAAACAACCCAGACCGCCAGCUAAGGUCCCAAAGUCAUGGUUAAGUGGGAAACGAUGUGGGAAGGCCCAGACAGCCAGGAUGUUGGCUUAGAAGCAGCCAUCAUUUAAAGAAAGCGUAAUAGCUCACUGGUCGAGUCGGCCUGCGCGGAAGAUGUAACGGGGCUAAACCAUGCACCGAAGCUGCGGCAGCGACGCUUAUGCGUUGUUGGGUAGGGGAGCGUUCUGUAAGCCUGUGAAGGUGUGCUGUGAGGC